AAGUCGUAACAAGGUCUCCGUAGGUGAACCUGCGGAGGGAUCAUUAAGAGUGUCUAGCCCGCCAGUUUGUUUAGGAUUCCCCAAACUAAUUGUGUGUGGUUGGUUUAACAUUUGUGUUUAGGGUUAAACUCAUAACCCUAAUAUUUCUUAUUACACCAAGCCCUAAUAGGCUUGCUAACAAUCAAUCAAUAACUGAGGAACAAAAAAACAACACACCCCAUUGGAUACCUUGGUUCCCAC
rnacentral:misc_RNA from 1 species